AGCUUGGAUAAGCGAGGCUUGGAUAAGUGAGACUCUACUGUAUUUGUGGCUGGAAUUACACUUCAAAAAUGUAUCUGUUCCAAUUUACAAACAAAUUCAACUUAAGAACAAACCUACAGAACCUAUGUUGUUCGUAACUUGGGGACUGCCUGUGUAUAGAAAGAUUGUAAUUUUUUUCUUUUCCUUUUUCAAAAACCUAUGUAACAAAUUUUAUCCACUAGAUGAAGAUGGUUGUGGUGAUGACGACGACGAUGAUAUCCCCAGUAAGCAAAUGAACAAAGCAGAACUGAAGACAAGCGCUAAGCAUGUCAGCCUGAGCUUCUUCAUCAUCCAUUGCAUUUCUGGGGGGAAACAUUUCUACUUAGAGUGGGAUAAGAGAAUUUGGAGAGGGGAGAUAGAGAUGUCAGGAUAUUGUGGGAAAGGAGAACAAGAAAACAUUUCCUUUGGCAAUCCUGUUUCCCUUUCUGGGGGAAAACAGGACUAUUUUCUUCAUGCUUUAUCCCAACUGACAAGUACAAGCACUUUGGGCCCUAACUGGAUGUGAACAUUGUCAGAAGGAAUUUAGGCUAACGGGAGGCAUCUGCGGCUCCUUUCCAAUUGCGCUCAGCGCUGGAUCCACUUUUGCCAGCAUGGCAGGGUGGCUGGUGGGCAGACACCAGCGCAGAUGGGAACUUCACAUACUGUACGCAUCAUGACCAACUAUAAAAAGAGUCACAAUGAAUCAGUUGUUACACAGCAAGUCUCCUUGGAACCUUCACAUCCAAUUUCAAUCUAGCUGACAUCCAUAGCUUACAGUGAGCUUUUGUGUUUAAGCACUGGUACAGUAUUAAUGCCAGAGUCAAGGAGCUCUUCUGGAUCUCCAUGGUGCAGAUUUCAAGCACAGAUUUCAGCCAGUUGUUUGGAAGGAUGGAGGAGCGGUAAGGGGAGGCCGCCACUGGAAGGGCAGUGGAGAGGAAAGCAUGUGACAAACGGUUGGCGGGGUUUGGGGGAGACCUCCAAUGCCGCAGUAAACCAUGAAAGAGCAAUUCUCUGCUCCAGUUAAAUGCUUUAGUCUCAGUAGACAACUGAGGAUAAAAAAGAAAACAAAAUGAAAAGGGAGGCAAUUAAAGCAAACAGCUUAACUUUCCUUGAAAGAUAGAAGGCCAAGAUCCUACAGGGUCAAAUCAUUUGGAUAAAGGACCAUUUCUAUCAAGAAAGCACAGGUGAAUUCUCAAGCCAUUCUUUCCAAAGUACCCUGACUACAAAGACUCAUCCAAGGCAAGUGUUAAAGAACAUGGGAGCUUCAAAAUUUGACAUCUGACAGAGGUGAUACUGGGCAAUUAGAUAUAGUACUCCCAGUGGAGCAUUCCAUUCUGAUAAAACUGAAAUGUAUCUUGAUUAGACUCUGUAACAUGAAAUCAUCUGUUGCCCUAGAAGUCAUACAUAGCCUGCAUUGGCAUACAUGAAAGAAGAUUACGUAUUCUGCUGUACGAAGUAUGCAGGAAGCAUCCUGAAAUACACUACUUGAAGUAAGAUAUAAUUGGGUAUAACUCAGUUAAUAGUGUUUGUUUGUUUGUUUUACUAAUGUAAAAUAGAAUAUGAUUUUCUAGUGUACGUAUAGUAAACUAGAAUACGAUAUGAGGAUUGCUUGCUUAAGGGGAAUAGGCAUUUGUGUAAUUUCUGGAUUUUCUAUAUUUUCAAUGAUGAUUUAUGUCUUUAAUUGGUUUUAACUUUUUAAUAGUUUAAUUUAUUAUCAUUUGUAUGCUCUGAAUUUUUAACUGUGUUUGGUUUAAGUGUUGCAAGCUGCUUUAUGUCCCAAGCCGAGGGAAAGGCUGGAGGAGGAAGAAGAGGAGGAGGAAGAAUCAUGGAAUCAUAGAGUUGGAAGAGACCACAUGGGCUAUCUAGUCCAACCUACUGCCAUGCUGAAAAAGCACAAUCAAAACACCCCCAACAGAUGGACAUGUGGCCACAAAAGAUACCUUCCACAGAAUUUGCUGUGGCAUUUCUUUAGGAUCAAAGGAGGAUAUACUCCAUAUAAGCUGUAGGUAGCAGCAUUGAUGUUGUGUUCAUGUAUUCACAUAAGCGUACUUGUGUUCAUUCUUCUCAUGUGUAGCUGCAUACUAGUACUUCAGAUUGAAGAGAUUUUUCUUGUUCUUGGAUAUGAGUCAAUAUGAACACAAAGGCAGGCAUCCUCACAAAAAAGGUGCAUGUGUCCAAACAAUGUGUGAGAAGCACUCUUUCUGUCACAUGCAAUACUGGUUAACUUUCAUUACAUUACUAUUGAUAAUACGGGAAAUAUAAAUAUUGUCUGAGCACUUGGAAUCACUGUUUUGUUACUUAGUUCAAACAAUUUGCAAAUUCAGAGACACACUCACUUCCCCUCUAUCACAGGACACAGUGAAUGGGAUGAAUCUCUUUGUGGCUCCCCAAAAUGGUGGGGGUUUAAAAAAACAGCUACAACUGGUAAUGACUGUAUUAUUUCCUGAAAUUCAAUCUAUUAAAAGCAUUUUAGAGAGUCCGCACACAUGGUGGAUGUGACUACUUGCUCUGUUUUCCAUAAAAUUGGUGUUAAUUGGCUCUAGAGGGAGGGCUCCUGGAAAAACAGAAGUGCAGAACAUUUAUUAACUGAAUUGCAAGAUUCCUUAGAACUCGACAAAUGAAUAGGCACUAAUGAAGGUGGCAUGUUGUUCUUGUUUUCACCAAUUUGACUGGGAUCUGUGACCUGGUAAAUCCUGAUUAAUGGCUAUUGUUUUUUCCUCUUGUCUGUACAAUAAUUUGUACAUUCAGUAGCUUGCCCCAGGAACCAUCGGGUGCUUGCUGCUGCAAGGGUUAAUAAUUCCGCCUGCUGCAAACCGAGGGGGUUUUCUAUUGUGGAGCACUGAGGUGCUUCAUUCCCCCUGCCACCAAUCUUUCCUAAUAGGUGAAUGAUAUAAAAAUGGAACUGAGACAAGCUGCUGAGAUUGUUCCAUUCUUAUAACAACUUUAAUGCUGUACCAGUUGUUAUUAUUAAGACCUUUUCCAGAUUGUUUAGAUGACAAAAGUAAUAAAAGAGUUGCUAUUCUCUCUA